rnacentral:lncRNA from 1 species
GAAUAAAUAUUAGCCUGGCUGUUGCAUAAUGAAAGAGGAAAAAAAGAAAUUGCAAACUCCUUUCCUUUGAUGUAGGGCCUGAAUAAGUGUGCAGAGAGGCAGGCAUGGGGGAGCUGGGGAUCAGCUCUCUGGCAUCCCUGCUUGCAGUGAGCGCUGCUCUGCUGGGCCCCGGUGAUGGGAGCUGAGAGAGGCUCAGUGAUUCAUCCGUAGGUGGCUGCCUGUCACAGAAAUUCCUUCCCCUGCUCAGGGAAUCCCAGAAGUGAAGCAUCAGUCCCUGGUGUGGCAAUACAGCACUGGACAGCACGUGAUGAUAAGGAAUUCAGACCAUUGUUUAUGGGGGAUCCUCUGAGACAUCUCUAUAAAAACUCUGGCUGAUGCCUGAAACAUCCUCAGCAGGAAUACUGAGAGCACCAAAUAACAAACCCUGCACA